CAGUAGCCGCGGUAAUACGAAGGGGGCAAGCGUUGUUCGGAAUUAUUGGGCGUAAAGGGUGCGUAGGCGGUUCAGCAAGUCUCGUGUGAAAUCUUCGGGCUCAACCCGAAGUCUGCACGGGAAACUGUCGGGCUUGAGAAUGGGAGAGGUGAGUGGAAUUUCCGGUGUAGCGGUGAAAUGCGUAGAUAUCGGAAGGAACACCUGUGGCGAAAGCGGCUCACUGGACAAUAACUGACGCUGAGGCGCGAAAGCUAGGGGAGCAAACAGGAUUAGAUACCCCAGUAGUCCCUGUCUCUUAUAC
rnacentral:rRNA from 1 species